rnacentral:rRNA from 1 species
UACGUAGGGUGCAAGCGUUGUCCGGAAUUAUUGGGCGUAAAGAGCUCGUAGGCGGUUUGUCGUCGUCGGCUGUGAAAACUCGGGGCUACAACCCCCGGAGCCUGCAGUCGAUACGGGCAGACUAGAGUGCUGUAGGGGAGACGUGGAAUUCCUGGUGUAGCGGUGAAAUGCGCAGAUAUCAGGAGGAACACCGGUGGCGAAGGCGGGUCGCUGGGCGAGUAACUGACGCUGAGGAGCGAAAGCAUGGGGAGCGAACAGG